UAUCUCUGUAGAGUCUGCAUAUCAAUAAGCGGAGGAAAAGAAACUAACAAGGAUUCCCUUAGUAACGGCGAGUGAAGCGGGAAGAGCUCAAAUUUGAAGUCUUCAAGGUUCUACCUUGACGAAUUGUAGUUUAAAGAAGUGUUUUCUGUUAGAUGAGUAGCAAAAGUUCCUUGGAAUGGGACAUCAUAGAGGGUGAGAAUCCCGUAUUUGGUUAUUCAUUCUAGCUUUGUGAUACACUUUCAAAGAGUCGGAUUGUUUGGGAAUGCAGUCCAAAAUGGGUGGUAAAUUUCAUCUAAAGCUAAAUAUUGGCGAGAGACCGAUAGCGAACAAGUACCGUGAGGGAAAGAUGAAAAGAACUUUGAAAAGAGAGUUAAACAGUACGUGAAAUUGUCAAAGGGAAGCGUUUGACACCAGUGUUGUUUUUCCGAAAAUCAAUUACGAAUGGCUUGAUUUUGUGUUGUAUUGACCUUAUCAGCUUUCUUCACUUUUUUCGAGUCUUUCUUAAUGCACUUUUCGGUUAACAAGUCAACAUCAAUUUCUUUUGUUGUAAAAGAGUAUUCGGAAGGUGGCUUUCUUUUCGGAGAAAGUGUUUAUAGUCCUAUACUUCUACAAUCGGAGAGAUUGAGGUCUGCAGCGUAGAUCCUUCGGGGUUAGAUACACUUGUGCUAAGUUGUAGCUUUUCAUAGGCAACUUGUUGACUAUGUUUAGUCAUGCGGCUUACUCGCUUGUGCUAUUUUACCUACGCUUAGGAUGUUGACUGAUAUGUAGUCGU
rnacentral:rRNA from 1 species